rnacentral:lncRNA from 1 species
AUGGCAGAUUCAAUGCUUAGCACGGUUCCUUCAUGGCUCCCCGUAGGGAUGGACCCCUUAACUACAUAUUUGUUGGAAAUCAAACUAGCCGGGGAUCGAAAAAAUGCUAGGGUGGAAUAUGAUUGGUUUAUUUUCAGUAAAGUGAUAGACUCAAAUGCGAUGUGCUACAAAGACUUUAUUGAUGAUAUUGCGAAGUCAUAUCCAUGGGGGCCAAAUGAAACUGUCACAAUUGGCUACGUGGAUAUGGUUCAUAAAAUUACUCAUCAUGUCACAACUGACCAGGAUAUGCUUGCAAUGUUUGAAAAGUUUGUUGAUAUCAAGGUGAUUCCAAUGAUUAUUCGCAUACAUGGUAUUAAUGAAAGUAUUGAUGAGUUAGACCACACUCUUGUUAAAGCAAGCGCAUGUGUUCCCGAUACUCCUUCUUUGGCAACCCCAUCUCAAGUGGAUUUCAGCCAACCUAGCAGCAGCACUCUUCCUUCUCAUGUCAUUGUGCCAUCAGACACAUACUUAGUAAACCCAUUUCCUAUGGCUGAGCAUGUUGGUGUUGAUGAGGAAGGCAUAUACUUAGAUGAGGAGGAGGCUGUUGUU